AAACCAUGGUGUGGGCAACAUCUCAGCAAGUCCUUGUACCUCUCCCACCCAUUAUACAUGAUCUCAUCAUCAAACUGCACAAAAGAAGAAAUAUCGCUACAGAUCUU
rfam:Ricinus communis cultivar Hale ctg_1100012358607, whole genome shotgun sequence.